AUACGUAGGUGACAAGCGUUAUCCGGAUUUACUGGGCGUAAAGGGCGUGUAGGCGGUCUUGCAAGUCAGAAGUGAAAUUCCUGAGCUCAACUCGGGCGCUGCUUCUGAAACUGCAGGACUUGAGUGCUGGAGGGGAUAGCGGAAUUCCUAGUGGAGCGGUAAAAUGCGCAGAUAUUAGGAAGAACACCGGUGGCGAAGGCGCAUAUCUGGACAGUACAUGACGCUGAGGCGCGAAAGCGUGGAGAGCAAACAGGAUUAGAUACCCUGGUAGUCCACGCCGUAAACGAUGAAUUCUAGGUGUAGGGGGUAUCGACUCCCUCUGUGCCGCAGUUAACACAAUAAGUAUUCCGCCUGGGGAGUACGGCCGCAAGGGUGAAACUCAAAGGAAUUGGCGGGG
rnacentral:rRNA from 1 species